UUAACGCAUGUACUUAAAACUCCCAAACCUGCAGAUGCCAUGCACAAGAACCACCUUUAAGAGAUUCCAGACCAGAGUAGCAAUGUUACCACCAGCUUCAUGUGGGGAUAGGAUUCCAGCAAGACUUCUGAACUACUGGCAGGCAUCGGGGUCUCUGCCCUGGAGAAGGAGGAGGCAGACAGUGAGAAUAUCCCCAAGGAACUGCUCUAAAACCUGGGCCAAUCACACAGCCACCCAAGGAAAUGGCUGAAUAGCAAAAGGAAUGACAAAGACUGUGAUCAUCAACAGGCCUAAACUAAAUGGAGAGAACUUUCCAGGUGUUUCAUGGGACUCCCUUCCAGAUGAGCUGCUCUUGGGGAUAUUUUCCUGUCUGCACCUCACUGAGCUGCUAAAGGCCUCCGAUGUUUUAAGAGAUGGUACUGCCCUAGCAUUUGUUGAGUCUCUGUGGCAGACUUUAUACCUCACAGGUAAAAAUCUGAAGCCAGAUGUGAUUAGUGUGGGCCGGUUGCCUUCCACUGCCAACAAUCAUUUAUGACCAACCAUUGGUUGAACAUUUCAGCCCUCUGCAUAUACAGCAGAGGGAUGUGUUGAACUCAGUUAUAGAUGUGUCUGCCCUACAUGGCAUUCUGUCUCAGGGCUCCAAGCUGCAGAAUCUAAGCUUUCUGGAAGACCUAUGGCUUUCAGAACCCAUUUUCAAUAAUCUUGCACAGAACUCAAAUUUAGUGCAACUGGGUGUUCUGGGUUCUCCUAAUCCAGCUGUUCCAGACUUGAUGAGCUAAAUCUCUGCUGGUGAUAUGACUUCACUGAAAAAACAUGUGCAAGUGGCUGUUGCGCAUUUGUCAGAGAGCAUCACCCAGCUGAAUCUCAGUGGCUGCCGAAAGAAUAUCCUGAAAUCCAAUGUCUCUACUUUAGUUAGAAGAUCCUCCAAUGAGGGUCUAGAUGUCCACCUAAACGUAAGUGAUAAUGUCAUGCUAAAGCUAAAGAAUGACUGCUUUCAGAUAUUUUCCAGCUCAACUACCUCCAAUACGUAUCACGCAGUCGGUGCUAUGAUAUACCCAAAACUUUACUUGAACUCGAAGCAAUUCCCACUCUAAAAACACUACAAGUCUUUGGAAUCCUGCCAGACAGCACCCUUCAACUGUUAAAGGAAGCCCUUCCUCAUCUACAGAUUAAUUGCUCCAAGUUAACUACAACUGCCAGGCCAACUAUUGGCAACAAAAAGAAUUAGGAGAUAUGGGACAUCAAAUGCU
rnacentral:lncRNA from 1 species